rnacentral:rRNA from 1 species
GAUGAACGCUAGCUACAGGCUUAACACAUGCAAGUCGAGGGGAAACGAUAUUGGAAGCUUGCUUCCGAUAGGCGUCGACCGGCGCACGGGUGAGUAACGCGUAUCCAACCUGCCCACCACUUGGGGAUAACCUUGCGAAAGUAAGACUAAUACCCAAUGACGUCUCUAGAAGACGUCUGAAAGAGAUUAAAGAUUUAGCGGUGAUGGAUGGGGAUGCGUCUGAUUAGCUUGUUGGCGGGGUAACGGCCCACCAAGGCGACGAUCAGUAGGGGUUCUGAGAGGAAGGUCCCCCACAUUGGAACUGAGACACGGUCCAAACUCCUACGGGAGGCAGCAGUGAGGAAUAUUGGUCAAUGGGCGAGAGCCUGAACCAGCCAAGUAGCGUGCAGGAUGACGGCCCUAUGGGUUGUAAACUGCUUUUAUAAGGGAAUAAAGUGAGUCUCGUGAGACUUUUUGCAUGUACCUUAUGAAUAAGGACCGGCUAAUUCCGUGCCAGCAGCCGCCGUAA